rnacentral:rRNA from 1 species
UACGGUAGGGUGCAAGCGUUGUCCGGAAUUAUUGGGCGUAAAGGGCUCGUAGGCGGUUUGUCGCGUCGGGAGUGAAAACUCAGGGCUUAACCCUGAGCCUGCUUCCGAUACGGGCAGACUAGAGGUAUGCAGGGGAGAAUGGAAUUCCUGGUGUAGCGGUGAAAUGCGUAGAUAUCCGGAGGAACACCAGCGGCGAAGGCGGCUUUCUGGUCCGAUUCUGACGCUGAGGCGGCGAAAAGCGUGGGGAGCGAUCCGG